rnacentral:rRNA from 1 species
AUUGAACGCUGGCGGCAUGCCUUACACAUGCAAGUCGAACGGUAACAGGUCUUCGGAUGCUGACGAAUGGCGAACGGGUGAGUAAUACAUCGGAACGUGCCCGAUCGUGGGGGAUAACGAAGCGAAAGCUUUGCUAAUACCGCAUACGAUCUACGGAUGAAAGCAGGGGACCGCAAGGCCUUGCGCGAACGGAGCGGCCGAUGGCAGAUUAGGUAGUUGGUGGGAUAAAAGCUUACCAAGCCGACGAUCUGUAGCUGGUCUGAGAGGACGACCAGCAACACUGGGACUGGGACACGGCCCAGACUCCUACGGGAGGCAGCAGUGGGGAAUUUUGGACAAUGAGCGAAAGCCUGAUCCAGCCAUGCCGCGUGCAGGAUGAAGGCCUUCGGGUUGUAAACUGCUUUUGUACGGAACGAAAAGACUCUGGUUAAUGCCUGGGGUCCAUGACGGUACCGUAAGAAUAAGCACCGGCUAACUACGUGCCAGCCGCCGCCGUAACAC